AUGCACAGCCUCCCCCAGUAUCAAAAUCCUGCACCAGAGUGAUGCUGCCAGGGCUUCGUCCAUAUUCUCUGGCAUCCUUGUUCCAUUUAUUGAGCACACCGGCUCCUGGAUGCUUUCACUCCCAACAGCCAGUACCUGUGUCUCUUCUUUGGAGGCCUAACCCUAAGCUGUGGGUCCCACCACUUAGCUGGCACACAAAGAACCACAAGUUCCUGGGAAUUUACUCCUCUUGGCAGAAAAGCUCCCUGUUUUUAUAGAAAACAAGAAGAGCUUGCUGAAAUACUUCUCAAAGGCAGGCUUUCCAAGUAAGUAUAUUUUCCCAGGCUUUUUAUAGUUUAAUCUACUCACAGACUCCUAAAAACACAGCAUGUCUCUUUCUAUGCAGGCUUCUGCCUGAUAUCCAUGCAUGAGAAGCUCAAAAAAUGGUUAUAAAAGUUCUUCAUUAUUUAAAAGUGUAGUAGAACAAACCAGUAUAAAUUCCAGUGCAGCAGAUGAAUAUACCUUAUUAUCCUACACACAGAUAUUGACAAUAGGAUUAUAGAUAAACAAUAGAAAACAGGAUUAUUUUUUAAUAACACCUUUAUUGAGAUAUAAUUAACAUACCAAACUUUUACCCUUUUAAAGUCUACAAAUCAGAGGUUUUUUAGUACAUUCACAGAGCUGUAUAACUAUCAUCACUCUCUAAUUUUGGAACACUGUGUCCUUUAGCAGUGACACCUCAUUCCUCUCAUCCUCCUCAGCCCCAGGAAACCACUAAUUUACUUUCUGUCUCUAUGGAUUUGCCUAUU